rnacentral:miRNA from 1 species
AUGAUGGCCAGCCAUCCUGGGUUGCCUGGGACUGAGGAUGUUCCUGGGAUGCAGGCUGUUCCAGUUAUAAACCUGGGACAAUC